AUGGAGAUGUCCCCUCAGUAUCAUGGGACCUGCACAUUAGCUGUCUCGGAGGAAGACGGAAGGUUUUUUCCGGUCCCUUCUUUCCCUUCUAAGAGCCCACCUACUUUUGCACGGGCUGGACCACGGAGCUGUUCUCGCGAGAGGUGCGCCUGCUCUCGCGAGAGUGUUUUGUGCAUCUGUUCUUCAGUGAUUGCAAUCAAAAUUAACAUAGUUAUGGCGACUUUCCAGACUUUCAGAAACAGUCGUGUGAAGCCAAGAGCAUCUGUCAGAAAAAGCUUCAGUGAAGAUGUGUUCCAGUCUGUAAAGUCUUUAUUACAGAGUGAGAAGGAACUGUGCAGUAUAUCAGUCGAGGACUGUUUAAAGCAGGACGAACAUGCAAAAUUAACUGAGGUCACAUUUCUGGGUUUUAAUGAAGAAACAGAUGCUGCUCAUAUACAGGAUUUAGCGGCAGUGUCUUUGGAACUUCCAGAUCUUCUGAAUUCACUCCACUUCUGCAGUCUAAAUGAAAAUGAAAUUAUUUGUAUGAAAGAUAUAAACAAAUCAUCAAAUAUCAACAGUGGUCCUCGAAAUCAGAGUCAUCAUUCCGGAAUGCUUUGUGUCAUGAGAGUGUCACCUACAUUACCAAGACCCAGAAUUGAUUUUAUCUUUAGUCUCCUAAGUAAAUAUGCUACUGGUAUAAGAUAUACCCUGGAUACAUACUUGCAUCAGAAUCACCAGCUUGAGACUACUCAUGAAGAUGAUGAUGAUACUAACCAGUCUGUGUCUUCUAUAGAGGAUGACUUUGUCACUGCUUUUGAGCAGUUGGAAGAAGAGGAGGCUUCAAAGCCAUAUGAUGGAAUAAACACUACACUACGGAGCCAGUGUGAUGUGGCUUCUCAGACUAUUUGUGGUCACCAUUUGGAAAUCCAUGAUUUAAAGAAGAUUUUAGUCAGCUCUGGACAGCAGAAGACAUUGGCUAAGCCCUCAUCUCCCCUAAUAAAUGUUCUUGGACAUAAUGAACCACAUUCUGUGAAAACUUCAGUCACAACUUCAAUUUCAGAGCCUUGGAUCCAGAGGAGUUUCUAUAGGUCAUCUAAUGCUUCAGACAAAGAUGGUGAUGCACAGAAAACCUUUUGUUCUUCUUCUCCUGCCUACUCUUCGGAAUCAGAAUGCUCAAGUCCAAGUCCUGUUAUUUUCUUGGAUGAAGAAGGGUAUCAGAAAAGUUUAAAAGCAAAACUUGAGCUGCCUAAAAUUCCUGUGAUGAAAGAUGAUGUAGAAGAUUCAGACUCAGAAGUAAGUGAAUUUUUUGAUAGUUUUGAUCAGUUUGAUGAACUAGAACAAACUUCAGAGACUUCUUGCCUGUUUAUAAAUGAUCCUGUUCAAGAGAAGUCCUCACGAAAGAAGGGGCACAAACAUGAAAAAUCUUGUAUGAAUCCUCAAAAAUUCAAGUCUGAUUGCCCAGUUCUUCCAGCUAAUGUUAAAAAGCCAACUCCUCGAAAGCCAGAAUCUCCGUAUAGCAACCUGUGUGAUGCUCCAGAUUCUCCUCGUCCAGUAAAGGCAUCAGGGGAUGACAGUGGUUUGUUUAGCCCUAUUCGAUCCUCUGCUUUUAGUCCUCUUGGAAGCUGUACUCCUGCUGAAUGCUUUUGCCAAACGGAUAUUGGUGGAAACCAGACUCAUGAUUCUGUUUAUUAUACCUAUGAAGAUUAUGCAAAUAGCAUUUCAUGUGAAGUGCUAGAGUCAGUUCUUCAUAACCAACAUACUAAUGAAAUGUCAAACAUUAAUAGUAUUAAAAGAGGAGAAAAUAAAACCGAGGAUUUUAAGCAUGGAAACCUUGAUCAAAAAAGUAAAAGUAAAUCUUUAAUGAUUAAAGAUAGCAUUCAGAAAUUUGCCACAGAUCUCGUGGAAAAAGGUUUUGGCAGUGCAUUUAAAGACUUACAGAAAGGAGUCUCUUCAUGCACCAAUGCAUUGUGCCACUUAGCCGUCAAAUUGACAUCAUCUGUCUUUCAGAUGGCGUUUAAUGAACUGAGAAGGCAGCGUGCAUUUUCACUAAAACAACGUGCCAUUAGUGGCCUGGCUAAUUUUUUGGUGAGUGAAGCCUUAUCACAUGCCUUAAAAGAUUUACAGUAUAUAAAAAAGCAGAUAUUUACAAACACAGUUGCUAGGUUUGCUGCAGAUCUUGCUGAAGAGCUUGUUUUUGAAGGCAUCAUGGAAGUGUGCCAGUUUUCAUAUCCUUCAACACCUCUAUUGCCACAGUGUCAGUCAUUUGAUUUUGAAGAUAAAGUAGUGAAGUCAUAUGCAAAAGAUUUGUCUGAGUCUGUAAUACAGGAAGCAUUCAUUGAGCUAUCACAAGUUGAUGUGCCUUUCACGACAAAGGCAGCAGUUAGUGUUUCUACAGAUAAUAUCAAGUAUGUGAAUGCAGAAAGUGUAGCGCCACCUGUACAGACUUUCACAUUUUCUCCCUCUUUUAACAAUCAAGCAAUUAUGGUGACAAAACCAAUGCAGGAAUAUAAAAAGGAAUACACUGUGCAACAGGCCUUGUUUUGUACUUCAGGAAUUGUCACUUCUAUUCCAGUACCGUUGGCAGGAAGUGCCCUUCUCCCAUAUCAUAUUUUCUCUACCAUAUGUCAGACAAAUUCUCAUCUGUCACUUGAUGACAGUAAUCCAAAUGGUGAGUCUACCCAAGCACAUGUUACCACAAAAAAUGAAGAGGAAGUAGCUUGUCUCAGAAACAUUUGUUUACCUUCAGAACACAGUCUGGAUAGCCAGAAUGAUUGUAAACCAACCAGUAAUGAUAUUGAAAUUCAAAGUUCUUCAAAAUUAGCUAGUGGAAUUAGUAACUUUUCUGCAGCAAUGGUGCAUACUAUAGUAAAUGAAACUUUAGAGUCAGUGACACCAUUCAGAGUUACAAAAACAGCUGAUGAACAAACUGAUUAUUUAACUAAAACAGUGAAGGAACAUAUCUCUCCUUCCUGUCAAGUAGAACCACAACAGGGGGAAGCUAGCAAUAAGGACAUUUUUGCUGAACUGUUAUCUAAAUCUGUUAUUAAAGAUUCCAUAGAUGCAAGCAAAUUAAUGAUCUCAACUUCAGAUACAAAUAUAGUACCUAAGGAAGGCUUACCUGUUGCUGGAGAGGAAUCAAAGUUGACUUCGGAAAAGUUCGCCAAAUUUCUUGAUGCUCAAGAUCACUUACCUUGCUGUUCACGUUCUAUGAGAAAGGAUUAUGUUCCAGAAUGUAAAGAUUCGAUGGUUUAUAGAAUUUCCUUAGAGACACUACCACUUUGUCCAGUGGUGGCAAGUCAGAAACCUGAUCUGAAUGAAGUUGCUAAGGAUAAACCAUUGAAAAAGCAUAAUUUGAAUGAUACAGCACUUGAGCCCUUAUCUUUUGGACAGGAGAGCCCUUUCAGUCACUCACGUACUUUCUCCUCGACAGUGCUUGCCUGUGUAGAUAGUUUGCAUGUGGAAGAUAAACAGAAAAUCAGAGACAGAAAUGUAAUACCUGACACUCCUCCGUCAACUCCUUUAGUUCCAUCCCAAGCUAGUUCUGAAUGGGAUAUCAAGAAGUUAACCAAAAAGCUCAAAGGGGAAUUAGCUAAAGAAUUUGCACCUGCUACACCGCCGUCUACGCCGCACAACGCAUCCGUUGGUAAUUUGUCUGAAAAUGAACAGAAUACUAUAGAAAAGGAAGAGUUCAUGUUGAAACUCAUGCGCUCUCUUUCAGAAGAAGUUGAAGGUAGUGAAGGUGAAGAGCAUCCAGAAAUGGAUGUGAAGCCAGAGCACUCAGGGAAGAAAGUGCAGUUUGCAGAAGUGUUAGCUACACAUAUAAUUUCUUUUGCAACUGAAAUGGCAGCCUCCCAUUUAGAUCAUAAAAUGGUACAAGAAUCUGAGGUUCGAAAACCUUGCUUCAAUGUGCAAAGUCAAGGAAGAAUAUUGCCCACUUUUUCAAGUCAAUCUGUUGAAAAUUUUCAGACAGGUAGUUUUGCAGCUGAUAUGGCAGCAGAAAUCAUUGCAGAAGCUGAGAAAGUAGCAGAAACUAGAAGUUCUGUACUUAGUAAGCAAAAGAAGAAUCUUUGUUUUGUUGAUGGGGACCAAGAUUAUAGAUCAGAAGAGAAGUUGGAUAGGGAGAUUGUAAUGUAUCCAAGAGAAGUGGAUCCAUUUACUCUUUCAGUACUACCAAGUUCUUGUAUGUCAGGUUUGACAUACAAGUAUCCCAGCUGUGAAAGUGUGACAGAUGAAUAUGCAGGCCAUGUUAUCCAAAUAUUAAAACAGGAAGGUGGUAAUAGUGAGUUAAUAAUGGACCAGUAUGCCAGUAGACUUGCUUAUCGGUCUGUUAAGUCAGGUUUACAAGAAGCAGCUAAGGCAGCCAAAAUGCAGAGCAACUCGAAAAUGUUCCCUGUGCAAAGUGCACAAAUGAAAAUAAAUAAUGAACUGUUAAUGUUCUCAAACAAAGACCACCACCAAGAAGAAGGGGAAAAAAGUGAAAGAAAAAGAAGUGGAGGUCACCUUUGUCCAAGUCAAACUUGCGAAAGGGCAAAAGAUGAAUGGAGAAAUGAGGACUCUCACCUAUAUAGUUUUUCAGCCUCCCUUGCUCACUGCAUAACAAGAGAUGUUAAAAAGGAGCUGACAGCACCUAAAGUUGACUUGCCAAAAUCCUUAACAGAGUCCUGCCCUUUUGAAAAAUCUGGAUAUGUUGAAGAUACUGAGUGUCACACAGAACCAGAAUUUUUUAAGCCUCUUGAGCCUUUCUCACAAAAUCAAGGAUUUCACCACAGUACAGGCAGCUUAAAUAGACAUGGCGGUGGAGAGAAUAUUGUUCAAACUAUAGAACAGUAUGCUAAAAAAGUAGUGGAUGACACUUUAGAGUUAGGUCUAGGAUCCAAAGUUUUCCAAGCAUCUGAGACCACAAAAUCAGUAGAUAGAAUCACUUAUGCAGAAAAGUUGUCACCGCUUAUAAAUCAGAAUUGCAGAUAUUGUGACCUUAAGGAGCUCCAUGAUUGUACUGGAAAUUCAUCUCAGCACUUUUUCAAACAGGAUUCACGUGUUAGUAGUAAACUCAUUACGAAUUCAAACUUUAGCAACAUCUAUCAGAAAUCUAGAAUUUUUCAUCUCGAUGUCCCUCAAAUUCAUGUAAAUCUUGAUAAAAAGUCAUUACUUGCUGAGAAGAUAGUAGCUGAAGCCAUUGAAAGAGCAGAGAGAGAGCUGAGCAAUACCAGUUUGGCAGCUGAUAGUGGAAUUGGACAAGAUGGCAUUAGUUUUGCUGAAAGCCUUACCACAGAAAUAAUGACAUCAGCCAUGACCAGUGUUGGACAUGCUGUGAGCAGUUCAAAGGAAGGAGAAGAUGCUCAGUCAACUGAGUCACUUGGUAGCCAGCAGCUGAAUCUCAGUAUUGGUGAGGACAGCACUGGUAGCUGGUCCAAUUUAAGUUUUGAGGAUGAACACCAAGAUGAAAGCAGCAGUUUUCAUCACCUAAGUGAAAGCAGUAAUGGUAACAGCAGUAGCUGGAGCAGUCUUGGUUUAGAAGGAGAUUUGUAUGAGGACAAUUUAUCCUUUCCAACAUCAGACAGUGAUGAAUCGGAUGAUAAAGAUGAAGAGCAUGAGGAUGAUAUAGGAGGUUUGGAGCAAGAUGAAAAGACUUUGCUGAUUACGAAUAUUGACAUGGAGCCAUGCAUUAUAGAUCCCCAGUUAAGGAUUAUUCUUCAGUGGCUCAUUGCUUCUGAAGCUGAAGUUGCAGAACUUCAUUUUCAUGAUUCUGCAAAGAAAGAAUUUAUACUACUUUCAAAACGGUUACAAGAAAAAGGAUGGAAAGUGGGAGACCUCCUGCAGACUGUGCUUAAAUACUAUGAAGUGGUGGAAAGAACUUCCAGUGAGGAGAGGUGCAAGUCGCUGUUUGACUGGCUUUUGGAAAAUGCAUAGUAUAAACCUCAAAUUAGUGUAUUUUAUUAUUUGUUUUGAAAGGGGAAGAAACAGACAAGUAUGUUUAGGGUAAAUUUGAAUAGUAAAUAGGAACAUUUUAGGUGAUUUGGGAGAAAAGUACAGAUUUUUAAGUGCUUUCUGUCAUCACAAAGUGUAUAUAGUUCAUACUUUUGUAAUCCCUGUUAAAAUAUUAUCUUUACCUUUCUUCUGUGCACAUAUGUAGUGUGUAUAACAUGUAUAUGAAGGAAGGAAGAAAGGUCUUUCCAUAAGGUUUCUGGGGACACUGUCUGACAGCAUUGUUUUUGCAUCCGAACAGUGCUGCUUGAAACUGCAGAGAUAGCUAGGGAGAUGGUCCAGUGAUAAGUGACUUACACUUGAUCCUUUACAAAUGGGUAUCUAAGGACACAUCAGUAACCAAAACGUAAAAUUAAAGCUGGUUUGUUUGUGGUAAGUUUUUAGACUUUUUGUCCUGUUUUUAAAAAUCAGUUUUAUGUCAAUAGCUUAGCUAUUGGCAGCUUUGUGGUUCUCUCCAAACUGUAAUUUUUUAGCAGGAAUAUUGUUGUUUUAGGUUUCUGUAAAUACCAUAAGGGAUAGUUUCCCAGGCCUUCCAUCAAAUGACAUUAUUUGCUAAUGCUACCAAUCCUUAGGGCAUGAAAGUGGGGUGGGGUGUGUGUGUGUGUGAGAGAGAGAGAGUAACAGUGUGUGUGUAAAGGGGAAUUUUAACCUUGCCCAGUGGUUUGUUUCCUCUUUUAUUUUACUCUCUUAGUUAAAAAGCGUUAUUAACAUUAAAAAGGUGCUUUAAAAUAAAAUGUCUAUAAAGAUUGUGCAGUAAGAAUUUUGGACUUACAAAUGAAAAUUCAAAUUGAAAAACAGUAAAAUUUUAAAAAUAAUGUUAAUAUGGAAAUGCAUUCAGAGGAGCCUAAUGUGUUUCAUUGUUGGAUUUUUGAAAAAAAAAAGAGAACUCUACUUACCAAGAAUAAGUUUUCUGUAGAAAAAUUGUGAAUCUCCGCCCCAAAUAAAAUGUAUCUGCAGUAAUUUGUAAAGUUCUCUGCAUGAUCUUUCUGGGCUCUACAUUUCCUACUGUAUCUUCAGAAACUGCAGGGUGACAUGAACAGAAGGACCAAGAUUGUGUCUUGGUUUUACAUGUGUAGGUAUGUAUGUGCAGCUUUUUAAUUUUUCCAGUAGUGGAUUUUAUAAUCUAGGAUAAACCACCUUUUGUGUAGGCUUUGAUUUUUUUACUCUUACCACAUUUUUUUUCCUCCAGACAUUACUCUACAAGCUACACAAAAUGUAGAAGACAUAGUACCUAUCAGGGAAUAGGGAAUCAGGGCAGUUACAGCAAUUUGAGUUAACAGUUAUAGUAAAGAAGUAUGUUUUAUAGUGAAAGAUUCAGAUUUGCUUUUUAAGAAAAAUGUCAAAAUACUUAAAUAUUUUGAGUUUACACUGUAGACUUCGUUUUUUUCUCAGUUUAAGGUACAGGUAUAGGAUGAUCCCUAAUGAUAAAUUUUCCUGAAGUUUCUUCAAGUAUUUUUUGAGGUAAAGAAAGGAAGGAAAUAUAUAACUGGGAUUGUUUCUGCCCUUAGUUUUUAAAAAUUUCAGAUGAGGCCACACUGGACUGGAGUUUAAAUGUUAGGACCAGGAAUGUUUACUCUUAGUUGUAAGGUAGAUUCAUUGAUGAAGUUCAGAUUGCAUUUUUACAAGUAACUACCAAAUUGUAUUUAGUAGUUUGGGUGUAAAUAUGGCUCUUAGUAACAACAAAGCUGGGUUCUGAAUUUCUUUUAAAGUGAUAGUGUAUUUUUUAAAAGUUUCUGUGUUUGAAAUGCUUCUGUUAAUUUAUGUUAAUGAUAUAAUCAUUUUGAGCUAAAGUUUUUGACAUACUCGUAUUUCCUUUGCAUUUUGCUGAGUUCAGAGUUCCAUCAUCUAACAACUGCCUACUGACAAACCCGUCAUUAGGUGUUGGAAUGUGUGAUAAUAAUAAUAGUGGAACUCCACAUUUGCAUCAAUUCAGUGCGGGGGCAUUGAGAAAAGUAUUAAAUAUUGGUAUAUGUGAAAAGAUGUUGAGUUAAGCUUCCUUGUAUAGAGAGAAUGUUUGAAUAGUAUCUUUUAAUCAUGUACAGUCUAUAUUAACUUUCUUUAAAGACUGAUUUUUCCAAAGAUGUUAUACAUUUGUUUGGUUGCUCAGUCUUGAAAACAGCCUUGUUAAAAAAAAAUAAAACAGCCCUCUUGAGGACAGCUCUGUCUUAUUUAAUUACAAAUCUGCUUGACGUAUUUAUAACAUCGUAAUAUUGCUAUUCUGUACAUUUUGGACCUAAUGAAAUAUGUCUUAUUCAAAAUUGUGAAAAUUUUGAUGUGCAAUGAACUGAAUUCUUUGUUUACCUGUUUUAAAAUCAUCAUGUGAUUUGUAGAAAGAAAGUGAAUGAAACCUCCAGUAAGAGGUUUUCAGAACAUUAGUUCAGUCUAAAAUAGGGCAGUUCUUUCAUGCUCUUUUCCUAAGCCAAGGUUAAAUUACAUUUGUAUUUUGGGUAUUAUUAAUUUUGGGUAUUAUUAAUAUUGAUUUUGAAAAUAUUACUGAUUUAUUAAAAGUAGUGAUUCAUUUAUAAAUCACAGAAGGAAGUGACUCUCUAUUGGAUGAAUGAAUUAAUAUAACUUAGUGGCAGUAUAACACCUUUGAGAGUAACUCGGUGAACAUAGGUGGUACCUUUGUACUUUAAAAAAUGUUGCGCUUACCCUUUCAAUAUUGGUUGUGAAUUAAUUCAGUUCAUAAUAAUUUAAUUCUACUUAAAAGUUUUAUGUUGCUGGUAGGAGAAUUUAGUUACUUAAGUACACUGUGUAUAAAAUGAAGAUAAUUUACCUAUAUAACAUAGGUAAGCUUGACAUUACUGCAUGUUCUCCAAAUGCAAAGUGUAAUUUUUGUUCAUAAGAGUCCAGUCGGAUGGCUAUUUAAUUUCUUGGCUAAUAUUAUUCCACAGUUAAUAUCAUUAAUUUCCCACCAGUAUAUCACUUUAUAUUUUAUGCUUUUCAAAGAAAACUUUACGCAGAAUUUUAAAAAUGAUGCAUCCAUACUCAGGGGUUAGGGAGGAUACUUUCCAUUUAAAGCCCUGUCCACCUGUUACCUGCACAAGAGAAUUAGAGCAUCAGUGGGAAUUAGAAAAGUUGUACUAUGAAGUGAGUUGCAUUUUUUUCUCAUUUUCAGAAAAAACCCUGCAAAACAUUUAAUCAUUUACUGUAUUCUUGCUCCAAAGAUGCAGAUACAGUGUUAGUCACUCUUGUCACUUUAAUUUAUUUAUUUUUUUAAUCACCCAUGUACAUUCCUUUCAUUUACAGUUACAGUUCUAGAAGUUCUCAUUUGUUAUUGUAAUGUUUGAAUACUGUUUUAAUGCCAGGUUUUAAUAUUGCUGGAUUUGCUACCUUUCAUUACUUGUGCAGUGUUAAAAGUAAUACACAUUCUUGUUUAAUUAUCAGAUAUAUAACAAAAGAAGCUUUGAAUAAUUACAACUUUAUUUGGCUGUGCUGAGUUAUUAUGUAAAGAUCUUAUACUGUGUAGCAGUAACUUUUUUUGCUGUUCAGUAAUUAACUGUUUGCUUACCAAAAUAUUAACUUCAGGAUGCACUAAACUUUUGUUUUAGUAGUGGUGUUUAAAAAGUUUCAAAAAUUACUUUUGUAAUAGUUUGCAAUUAAUUGUUCCUUUUCAGUUGUUUAAGCCUGUGAUCUUUCCCAACUAAGAAUUCUACAAUAAAUUUAAGAAAUCCCUACCUUUGGUUUUCAUUCUGUAAUACUUCAUUAAUUACUCUGUGCUGAAUUAAAAAGCACGCAAGACGGUGGUAACAGCAGACAGAAGAUCUAAGUGCUCACAUACAACACUUCUGUAAUAGGAGACAUAACAGGACCAGAUGCUCACAUCUUGUGUCUUAGUUACUCUUCUCUCACUGCCGAGACGAAAUACCAGAUGCCCAAACUUAAGGAAGGAAAGGUUUAUUUAGCUCACAGUUUGUGGAGGUUUCAGUGCAUAAUCCGCUGGCUCCAGGGCAGAGUGGCACAUGGC
ensembl:lincRNA